rnacentral:rRNA from 1 species
CUGCCCUGCACUCUGGGACAAGCCCUGGAAACGGGGUCUAAUACCGGAUAUGACUGUCCAUCGCAUGGUGGAUGGUGUAAAGCUCCGGCGGUGCAGGAUGAGCCCGCGGCCUAUCAGCUUGUUGGUGAGGUAGUGGCUCACCAAGGCGACGACGGGUAGCCGGCCUGAGAGGGCGACCGGCCACACUGGGACUGAGACACGGCCCAGACUCCUACGGGAGGCAGCAGUGGGGAAUAUUGCACAAUGGGCGAAAGCCUGAUGCAGCGACGCCGCGUGAGGGAUGACGGCCUUCGGGUUGUAAACCUCUUUCAGCAGGGAAGAAGCGAAAGUGACGGUACCUGCAGAAGAAGCGCCGGCUAACUACGUGCCAGCAGCCGCGGUAAUACGUAGGGCGCAAGCGUUGUCCGGAAUUAUUGGGCGUAAAGAGCUCGUAGGCGGCUUGUCACGUCGGUUGUGAAAGCCCGGGGCUUAACCCCGGGUCUGCAGUCGAUACGGGCAGGCUAGAGUUCGGUAGGGGAGAUCGGAA